rnacentral:rRNA from 1 species
UACGUAGGGGGCAAGCGUUGUCCGGAAUCAUUGGGCGUAAAGCGCGCGUAGGCGGCCCGAUCAGUCCGCUGUAAAAGUCCAGGGCUCAACCCUGGAAAGCCGGUGGAUACUGUCGGGCUAGAGUCCGGAAGAGGCGAGUGGAAUUCCAGGUGUAGCGGUGGAAUGCGCAGAUAUCAGGAGGAACACCGAUAGCGAAGGCAGCUCGCUGGGACGGUACUGACGCUGAGGUGCGAAAGCGUGGGGAGCGAACAGG